AUUCGAGUUACAAAAUGGCCGCCAGGAGCGUGUUCAGCGCGGUUCCCCCAGCGGUCUCCGGCUGAACCCGCGCUCUCGCCUCCCUGCCGAACACAGCGUGAGGAGACCCCCCGGGGACAUGGUGUUUGAGUCUCUGGGCUUGCCGAGCACCAAGUCCUCUGAAGCCCGCAGCGCAGCACCGGAAGCGGCCGAGCGCGCUCAGCCCGGCGACCACCAGCCGCUCCAGACCCCUGAGCCGCUGCGCCCCGGGUUUCGCCGCACCCAAGACCCAGCGAGUGCAGCGGCGGACGCCGAGGAGACGGAGUCUCGCUCUGUCACAUAGGCUGGAGUGCAUUGGUGCGAUCUCAGCUCACUGCAACCUCCGCCUCCUGGGUUCAAGAGAUUCUCCUGCCUCAGCCUCCGGAGUAGCUGGGAUUACAGGUUCGAAAACAUGGCCAAAAGAAAUGCCGAGAAGGAACUGACAGAUAGGAAUUGGGAUCAAGAAGAUGAAGCUGAAGAGGGCAAAAGAAGGGUUAUAAACUAAAGCCGAAG
rnacentral:sRNA from 1 species